CUAUUUCCUCUAUAGUUUUUGCACAAUGAAGAAUCCCAUGGUGGCAGCGAAAACUCUCUCUGAGCUCAAGUUCUAAAUCUCUUCUUUCUCAUAGUGUAGAUGUUCUUAAUUCAAGUCAUGUAAUCGAUUUACUCAAAGAUUAAGAGUAAAGCUCUUAUUUUGCUGUUGAGUUUCUUAGGUAGAGUUAAUUGAGUUUGUGUUGGUUAGAGUUAACCAAUAUUGAGAGUGACAUUGACAGAGUUGUCAUGAGGUGAUUGUAAUAGAGUUAUUAUAAAUUAGAGGAACUUAAGAGUUAAGUUCAAAUGGAGUCUGUAAUCAAGACUUGUUUUGAUUAUAGUGGAGUUUGAGAACCUGUGAGUGCAGGUCAUGGUUUUUCCUUCCUUGAGCAAGUAGGUUUUCACAUAAAUCAUUGUGUUGAUUUAUUUACUAUAUUUUUCUGUGUUUACUGCUUUAUUGCAAUGUUAUUCACUUCAGGGACCUGAUCCCCUAGCGGUGGUGUGUUAGGGUUUUUGCCCGGAUUUUCUUACUAUAUUUAAGUUUUACUUUUUCUUAGAAGGAAAAUUAAAGUUAUCAUAAUUACUUUUACUUUUCCUGAAAGAAAAAAUAUAAUUCUUUUCCAUAUUUGGAUAACCUCUUUCUUAGAGGAAAGGUUUUGGACAUCUAAAAAUAGAAGACCCCCCUUCUCAUACCAUAACACAAUAACAUCCACAAUGUAGUCUUUAAAGAGUCUUUGUUUAGGGGGAGAUUUCUCCCAUUAAGUUUUAAUAUUUUCAAUUUUAUUUUUUAAUAUGUAGGCCGUUUGGCCAAACCAUAUCCAAUAAUAUAUUUUUAUUUUUAUUUUUUAUGUUUCGUCUGAUUUAUCGUCUUAUGGUUUGCAAACUAAAAGCAUCCGCAUGAUCCCCUUUCAAUUUCGAACCUAACAAGUGGUAUCAGAGCUUAUGGUUCAUGGUCCAAUGGUGUGGUGAGACGAGAUUAAAUAGGUUCAAAGCGGUUUUAAAAUUAAGCUGCAACAAUUUGGAUGAUAAUGAAGAUUUUUAUCGAACUACAUGUGGAGAACAAGUUUCAACUAUAUUUUCAACAUUCCUGUUGCUGCAUCUUUAAAAAUAAAAAUAAAAUAUUAAUUUUUAACCCAUUUUUAACCAUAAUAUUUUAAACUUUAUUUUUAACCAUGACAAACAACAGUUAUGAAGAUUAUAUCAAGAACGAAGUUCAUGAACGUGAUAUGAAGAGAAGACGGAUCAAGUGAAGAAAAUCAACCCAAAAAGGGGAGAUUUGUUAGGGUUUUUACCCUGAUUUUCUUACUAUAUUUAAGUUUUACUUUUUUUUGAAGGAAAAUAAAAGUUACCAUAAUUACUUUUACUUUUCCUGAAAUAAAAAUUAUAAUUAUUUUUCGUAUUUGGCUAACCUCUUUCUUGGAGGAAAGGUUUUGGACAUCCAUAAAUAGAAGACCCUCUUCUCAUACCAUAACAUAAUAGCAUUCACAAUGUAGUCCUUUAAAGAGUCUUUGUUUAGGGGGAGAUUUCUCCCAAUAGGUUUAAUGUUUUUUGAUAUUAUGUUUUAUAAUAUGUAGUCCAAUUGGCCA
rnacentral:lncRNA from 1 species